rnacentral:rRNA from 1 species
GAUGAACGCUAGCGGGAGGCCUAACACAUGCAAGCCGAGCGGUAUUGUUUCUUCGGGAAUGAGAGAGCGGCGUACGGGUGCGUAACACGUGUGCAACCUGCCUUUAUCUGGGUGAUAGCCUUUCGAAAGGAAGAUUAAUACUCCAUAAUAUAUUGAACGGCAUCGUUUAAUAUUGAAAGCUCCGGCGGAUAGAGAUGGGCACGCGCAAGAUUAGCUAGUUGGUGAGGUAACGGCUCACCAAGGCGAUGAUCUUUAGGGGGCCUGAGAGGGUGAUCCCCCACACUGGUACUGAGACAAGGACCAGACUCCUACGGGAGGCAGCCGUGAGGAAUAUUGGUCAAUGGGUGCAAGCCUGAACCAGCCAUCCCGCGUGAAGGACGACUGCCCUAUGGGUUGUAAACUUCUUUUGGAUAGGGAUAAACCUACCCUCGAGAGGGUAGCUGAAGGUACUAUACGAAUAAGCACCGGCUAACUCCGUG